AUUACGCCUUUUUAACACCCCACCCCUUAAUCACAUAUCAUCUCUCUCCUUUCCUCCAUUCCAACCUUUCGACUUUCCACUCCACUCAAUCGCCGUUCUUCGAAGCGCCAAUCCUCCAGCAAUUCGUCGUCGGUGUUGACGCGACCACUCUUCCGGCGGUGACAUGAGUUCUGCGAGGCGAGCGGGCCAAGCGGCAGGAGAGUCAUCCGGAGCGAAACGUCUACGAAAAUGGAAAUCAGUAGACGAUGGGGAGUCCAGUGGGAAGAGGACAAGACUGGCUGGAAAGCCUUCAACAACUGUUGUUGGCGUCCCUGUACAAGUCAAGAGACCUCAAUUGAGGAUCAAGAGAACCGCUCAUUUUUUCCAGCGCAUCCUGAAGUCUCUGAACGAAAGGCAAAAAACUGCUGUUAGGCAGCUCGGCUUCGGCAGUUCCGGGAACAUUAGCGUAUUGGCUAUUAGAGCAUUUUGACCACCUACGGUGUAGUCUUAUGCUUUCUAAUGAUGUUGAGGUAGUUGUUGACACGAAGGACGUCGAGCUUAUUUUUAGUUUCCCAAAUGGUGGGAUUACAAUUGAUCGAUGCGACAGAAACACAUGCAUCAAAUUCCUGGAAACCGUUCCACUUGAUGAGGAGGCUGAUAUGAAUGCUAUGCAGACAAAGGUCCUAGAAAUGAAGAUGCUACAAGAAACUGGGGGGGGGGGGACUUUUUAAGAAAAUAUUCAUGUUAUUGCUGGAAACUGCUCUCAUUGAGACCUCCCCUUGUGGCUAUGUCAGACCCCGGAUUGUUGACACUUUUGGUGAUUUGCAGAAGGUAAAGAAGCACAAUUGGUGUAGGUACUUGCUAGACAAUCUAUUGAGGACACGCGAGCUGUGGAAGAAUAACAAAUCCAAGGUUUUCAGCGGGCCAAUAGUUUUCCUAGUGGCCUUCUACGUUGAUCGAGUAGUGCAUCGUAGGAGAUGUGUGGCACGUGCCAUUCAUAGAAUAAAGGGAUGGACGGCCGAACUGUUGAGAGAGAGAGGAAGAGGAAAUGAAAGAAGCUGAUUUUGGUAUUGGACGAGUGACUUCACAGUUGGAUGAGAAUGAAAUGGGUGGUGCGGAAAUGACAACAGGAGUGCAACCGCUGGCUACUGAAGAUGUUGUUGAACCGCCGGCCACUGAAGAUGGUGAACUGCUGUCCAUUGAAGAUGUUGUUGAAGAGAGAUAUUCUUCGGAUGAAGUGGUGUAUAUGAGGGGUGUUUUGGGGGCAACCAAACACAUAGGCGACGGUUUGAAGAUGCUGGCCAAGGAAUUAAAUCAAGCUCCUCUAUAAAUCAGGAAGAAAGACAGCUUUAGAAUAACGUGUGACACUCUCCGGAGGGCGUUUAGGUUGGACGAAAAGGACUUUGACCCUGUGGAGUCAAUGACGCAGUCGCAGACUGCGAAUUAUAGAGCAGCGGAAGACUGGUCAGAGUCCUUGAAAUCUCUGUUGGACGCAGCUGAUGAAAUGGAAAUUCUAGAAAACAAAGACGAUUACCCAAGCUUCAGCCUUGGGUUCGAUUCCAGCCAGGAUCAUGACGCUUGUCAACCUGAAGCAGAACCUCAACCCGAGACAGACAAUACAACACAUGAUGAAGAGGGUGAUGCGUCGAAAUACAAGCUAAGGGAGCCAACCGACCUUUUUUUAAGUGGGGAUGAUGUGGUAUCCCAGGACGGGGAGAGAGAGGACACUGCUGAUUGAGAGGUUGCGGUAUGGAAUUGAUUGUUGUUAGUGACAUUGGAAAAGAGUUGGCUGGCAUAGAGCCUGUGGCUAAUGCGCAAGUAGGAACGGUUGUGAAUGAGGAGAAUGCAAUCGAUGUGGCUAGUGCUAUUGCGCGUGAUGUUGUGUCGGAGGUACGUAAAACAACUGAAAUUAAACUUGUUGGCUCUAAGUAGGGGUAUUUACAUUUGGCAACAAUUAGUGAUGUUGUAUAUUUCCCUGUUUUUAAUGAUGCAACACGACGCCGUAGACGUAGCCGUUUGCUCUGCCGUGGAAGCAGUCCUGGAGCUAGGUGAUGCUGCUUUCGAAACACAAAUAGAUACGGUGGGUGCUGAUGCAUGAAUAUUACCUGUACGUCGAGAUGCAGAGAUGACUCGUGAACAGAGCACGUAUGCUGAAAUACAACCUGCUCCAGCAAGGAGACUCAGACUGCCUACAGGGAGAAGAGAGGGUGCAGCAUCAACGCGUAUCAGCUCAACAUGGACUCGAGAAGAGAUGGAUUGUUACCAAUUCCUUCUUGCGACACCCUACAUGUAGACGGAUCAUGUUAUUUACGCUGACGAUGUUGUGGAAGUUACUAAAAAGAAAUUUAGCUCGUUGAAGCCACAUGAGGCUGUUGACGCUGAAGUUAUCGAUGUUUGGGCUUCUUAUCUGAAUGGCAUGGAGGUGCAUAAACCAACACAGAAGCCCAUCAGAUUGUUUGUCACAACGGCUGCUACAACAUACAAUGUGGUUGAACGGAGAGCUAGUUGGGAAAAAUCUGAAGCUGAAUUAACAUUCUACGAUGAAAUAGAUGGUCAAUUCAACGGCGCUGGACCUUUUGACAUCACACAUUAUGAUUUGAUUUUUUCCCUAUAUAUUCAAAGAGGCAUUACUAUUUGGUGUGCUUUUCAUUGAAGACUGGGGUUGCAGAUGUGCUAGCCAGGUUGUGCCUGAGAACGGUAUUCCAGAUCAGGCCAAAUAUGGGAGGGACUUGGAUCUGCUAUUAAAGGGAUUGUCUUGGUUUUUAUCUCAAGUCAAAGGGAUUCGACGAACUGUCUUGGACUUUCCUUUCUCCCUGCCACAAUUCCUUGCAUCGUGAUGACCCAUUUCUCGACACAUUGCACAUCGCCUCUUAGGUUUGUUCUAUAGAAUGAUAGCCUUUGUACUCACUACAUCAGGAGGGUGCACGCUAACAACAUUUGGUCGAGCUAACCCAUACAGGUUCUCAAUCCUCUGUGCUUUACCCAUGGAAGACACGGAAGAUGUCGAUGCCUCCUCACACGGAUCAUUGUGUAGUGAUUUCAACAAAGGCGUCUUCAACCACCUUGUACCAAUAUAUGUUCCUGGUAUUUCUUUCACAUCAUGGUUUUUGAACAACCAAAAAAUAUGAGAACAUAAUAUUCCACACCGCUGAAACAACUUGCAAUCGCAGUGGUACGAUUCAGUGCCAACUUCAUGACGGACGACACCUUUGUUUCGAUGGCUGUCCAUUAUUGUGUAAAUCUCAGUAUUGUCCACCAUCUCAAAGUGAGACAUUCUGCAACGACGAUGAGCCUCGACGAUCGCGUCUUGAACUUGCUGAAAGAUGCGAUCUGUAUACAUAGCCGCUGCGUGUUUCUCAAAUAAAAGCUCUGUUGACAGAAUGGGGACUUUUGAAGCAUCAGAGAAAUUGAGCCAUUCAGUUAUGUUACGCUGAGCAUCCAACGCGCUAUUGUAGUGCAUCACAAAGUCAGCGAGAUUAAAAUGCGGUUUUUUGUACCUUUUUAAAAAGCUGUUCUCGGACUCAGAGAAUGAUGUUGUCUUCAACAACG